rnacentral:rRNA from 1 species
GACGAACGCUGGCGGUGUGCUUAACACAUGCAAGUGGUGCGACGAACCAGAGCUUGCUCUGGGGCAAAGCCGCGAACGGGUGAGUAACACGUGGGUAAUCUACCCCCGAUGACCGGGACAACCCGAGGAAACUCGGGCUAAUACCGGAUGUGGUACGGAGACAUAAGUCUCUUUACUAAAGGUAGCUUCGGCUUCCGCAUUGGGAGGGGCCCGCGGCCCAUUAGCUAGUUGGUGGGGUCAAGGCCUACCAAGGCAACGAUGGGUAGCUGGUCUGAGAGGACGAUCAGCCACACUGGGACUGAGACACGGCCCAGACUCCUACGGGAGGCAGCAGUGGGGAAUCUUGCGCAAAUGCGCGAAAGCGUGACGCAGCAACACCGCGUGAGGGAAGACGGCCUUAGGGUUGUAAACCUCUUUCAGAUGGGACGAAGGUGAUGCGGUGAAUAGCCGAUGUCAUUGACGGUACCGUCAGAAGAAGCUCCGGCUAACUACGUG